rnacentral:rRNA from 1 species
GAUGAACGCUGGCGGCGUGCUUAACACAUGCAAGUCGAACGGAAAGGCCCUGCUUGCAGUGCACUCGUGUGGCGAACGGGUGAGUAACUCGCGGGUGAUCUGCCCUGCACUUCGGGUUAAGCCUGUGAAACUGGGUCUAAUACCGGCCAUGACCUUCCUUGUAGUGCGGGGGGUGGAAGGAUAUAUCGGUGUGGGAUGAGCUCGCGGCCUAUUAGCUUGUUGGUGAGCUAAUGGCUUACCAAGCCGUCGACUGAUAGCCGGCCUGAGAGGGUGGACGGCCACAUUAGUCCUGAGGGAGGGCCCAGACUCCAACGUGAGGCAGUGGUGGGGAGUAUUGCGCAAUGGGGGGAAGCCUGUUGCGGCGAUGCCGGGUGGGUGAUGACGGGCUACUGGUUAAAAACCUCUUUCGACAGGAACGAAGCUUCGGUGACGGUACCUGAAUAGGAAGCACCGGCUAACUACGUG